AUUGAACGCUGGCGGUAGGCCUAACACAUGCAAGUCGAGCGGAUGAAGGGAGCUUGCUCCUGGAUUCAGCGGCGGAUGGGUGAGUAAUGCCUAGGAAUCUGCCUGGUAGUGGGGGAUAACGUCCGGAAACGGGCGCUAAUACCGCAUACGUCCUGAGGGAGAAAGUGGGGGAUCUUCGGACCUCACGCUAUCAGAUGAGCCUAGGUCGGAUUAGCUAGUUGGUGGGGUAAAGGCCUACCAAGGCGACGAUCCGUAACUGGUCUGAGAGGAUGAUCAGUCACACUGGAACUGAGACACGGUCCAGACUCCUACGGGAGGCAGCAGUGGGGAAUAUUGGACAAUGGGCGAAAGCCUGAUCCAGCCAUGCCGCGUGUGUGAAGAAGGUCUUCGGAUUGUAAAGCACUUUAAGUUGGGAGGAAGGGCAGUAAGUUAAUACCUUGCUGUUUUGACGUUACCAACAGAAUAAGCACCGGCUAACUUCGUG
rnacentral:rRNA from 1 species